rnacentral:rRNA from 1 species
UACGUAGGGUGCAAGCGUUGUCCGGAAUUAUUGGGCGUAAAGAGCGUGUAGGCGGCCAGAAAAGUCCGCUGUGAAAACUCGAGGCUCAACUUCGAGCUGUCGGUGGAAACUUUCUGGCUAGAGUCCGGAAGAGGAGAAUGGAAUUCCUGGUGUAGCGGUGAAAUGCGCAGAUAUCGGGAGGAACACCAGUAGCGAAGGCGACACUCUGGGCCGGUACUGACGCUGAGGAGCGAAAGCGUGGGGAGCAAACAGG